rnacentral:rRNA from 1 species
AUUGAACGCUGGCGGCAGGCCUAACACAUGCAAGUCGAACGGUAACAGGAAGCAGCUUGCUGCUUUGCUGACGAGUGGCGGACGGGUGAGUAAUGUCUGGGAAACUGCCUGAUGGAGGGGGAUAACUACUGGAAACGGUAGCUAAUACCGCAUAACGUCGCAAGACCAAAGAGGGGGACCUUAGGGCCUCUUGCCAUCGGAUGUGCCCAGAUGGGAUUAGCUAGUAGGUGGGGUAACGGCUCACCUAGGCGACGAUCCCUAGCUGGUCUGAGAGGAUGACCAGCCACACUGGAACUGAGACACGGCCCAGACUCCUACGGGAGGCAGCAGUGGGGAAUAUUGCACAAUGGGCGCAAGCCUGAUGCAGCCAUGCCGCGUGUAUGAAGAAGGCCUUCGGGUUGUAAAGUACUUUCAGCGGGGAGGAAGGGAGUAAAGUUAAUACCUUUGCUCAUUGACGUUACCCGCAGAAGAAGCACCGGCUAACUCCGUG